ensembl:lncRNA
GUUUAGAAUACAUUGCUCAGGCUUACAACCUUAAAACUAUAUCCUGUAUGUAAGUGCAGAAAUGUCUCCGAAUACCUGACAUGGACACAUCAACGGGUAGUAAUGAGAGUGCAUGGCAUCAUCCUGGAGCUGAGGAAAUCGUAAAACGUUGCCAAAUGAUGGACGUUACAUAAGCUUGUGUAGCGGGUGGGUAUUUUUCCCCCAGGACGGCCAAAACUCGGAACACUCACCGUGCCACGAAAUGUGCUCAAUUCACACUCGCAGUACGCGCCACAGCACAUAACGUUGUUUACCAUCGCUCAAUAACAAGUCACUAUACUCCAACGCUACUUGAUUCUUUCGGUUUAGGGAACAAAAAGCAAACGUCACUCGAUAACCGGGACACAGACUGCUGUGUCGUCUAGAGACUCAUUAGCAGAAGUGACGUUAUCCGGCGUGAUGAAUCAUCGUGACAUGGCUCGCUUAAGAAAUCGAAAAUAUCUCUAGCGCUUGUAUUAUAGGCACAUAAGCCAUGGUAGCUGGUCCGCUUUUCUGAGAUUACAAUCAUCUGCCACAUUCAAGUGUUUGGAUGUUCUGCGGGACAUGCCAGGCCUUCGUCCUUCUGCUCCGUCUCAGUGGCUGUAGGUGAAAGGUGUCAGUGCUGUUGCCUGUCAUCAUUCACCGGCUUUGACAGCCUUGCCACCGGCCUCGUUCCUCUCGUCACUCGCGUUCUAGCGGCUAUAAACGGGCGCGUCCUCACCAGCCUCGUUCCUCUCGUCACUCGCGUUCUAGCGGCUAUAAACCGGCGCGUCCUCACCAGCCUCGUUCCUCUCAAACGAAGAAUCACAAAACGCAAUAUCUUGUCUGUCGUGAAAAACCGACACUGGAAACUCCUAAAUGUCUUUUCACAGAAAAAUCAACAAUAUAUUCACAUUUUUUGCUAUUCUUAAAAAAAAAAAAAACCAAUGUAUUAAAUAUUUAAGCUUAGAUGAGUCCCUUAUGAUGGAAAGUAACACUGGUAUCAGGUGGACAUCAUCCGAUGUGGCAGAAUAUGCAUUCCUGUGCAUAACCAAAAAGUAAGUGUGUUUGAGAGUGUGUGUGUGUGUGUGUGUGUGUG